UACGUAGGGGCAAGCGUUGUCCGGAAUAAUUGGGCGUAAAGGGCGCGCAGGCUGUUAUGCGAGUCUGCUGUGAAAUGUACCGGCUCAACCGGUGCCUUGCGGCGGAUACUGCAUAGCUGGAGUACUGGAGAGGGAAGUGGAAUUCACGGUGUAGCGGUGAAAUGCGUAGAUAUCGGGAGGAACACCGGUGGCGAAGGCGGCUUUCUGGCCAGUUACUGACGCUCAUGCACGAAAGCUGGGGUAGCGAACCGGAUUAGAUACCCCU
rnacentral:rRNA from 1 species